GCCAUAGGGGAACUGAAUUCCGGAUUAACGGGGAAUGACAAAUUUAGGAGGACAACGGUGAGAAGGCAGUUUCUGGAUGUAACUGCCGCGGGGAGCAAAACCUGGGGAGCGAAAGGGUUAAUACCUGGUAAGUCCAUGCCGUAACGUGGGCCCUGGUGUGGGGCCAUUCCACGGUUUCGGGGCGGAGCUAACGCAUUAAGGCCCCGCCUGGGGAGUACGGCCGCAAGGUUAAAACUCAAAGGAAUUGACGGGGGCCCGCACAAGCGGCGGAGCAGCGGAUUAAUUCGAUGCAACGCGAAGAACCUUCCAAGGCUUGAAUGUUCUGAUCGCCGUAGAGAUACGUUUCCCCUUGGGGCGGGUUACAGGUGGUGCAUGGUUGUCGUCAGCUCGUGUCGUGAGAUGUUGGGUUAAGUCCCGCAACGAGCGCAACCCUCGUUCCAUGUUGCCAGCACGUCGUGGUGGGGACUCAUGGGAGACUGCCGGGGUCAACUCGGAUGAAGGGGAGGACGCCGUCAAACCAUCAUGCCCCCUAUGUCUUGGGCUUCACGCAUGCUACAAUGGCCGGUACAAUGGGUUGCGAUACUGUGAGGUGGUACAAAUCCCAAAAAGCCGGUCUCAGUUCGGAUUUAGUUUGA
rnacentral:rRNA from 1 species